rnacentral:rRNA from 1 species
AAGAAUCAUUCGAAGAUACCGUGCGUCGAUGAAGAACGCAGCUAGCUGCGAGAACUAAUGUGAAUUGCAGGACACAUUGAUCAUCGACACUUCGAAUGCACCUUGUGGCCCCGGGUUCCUCCCGGGGCUACGCCUGUCUGAGCGUCG